rnacentral:rRNA from 1 species
UACGUAGGGGGCAAGCGUUGUCCGGAUUUAUUGGGCGUAAAGAGCUCGUAGGCGGUUCCGUAAGUCGGAUGUGAAAAAUCUGGGCUCAACCCAGUGGAGCACCCGAUACUGCGGUGACUCGAGUCCGGUAGGGGAGUGUGGAAUUCCUGGUGUAGCGGUGAAAUGCGCAGAUAUCAGGAGGAACACCGACGGCGAAGGCAGCACUCUGGGCCGGUACUGACGCUGAGGAGCGAAAGCAUGGGGAGCGAACAGGAUUAGAUACCCUGGUAGUCCAUGCCGUAAACGUUGGGCACUAGGUGUGGGGAGGAGUCAACCCUUUCCGUGCCGUAGCUAACGCAUUAAGUGCCCCGCCUGGGGAGUACGGCCGCAAGGCUAAA